CUGCGAAUGGCUCAUUAUAUAAGUUAUCGUUUAUUUGAUAGUACCUUACUACUUGGAUAACCGUGGUAAUUCUAGAGCUAAUACAUGCUGAAAAUCCCGACUUCGGAAGGGAUGUAUUUAUUAGAUUAAAAACCAAUGCCCUCUGGGCUCUCUGGUGAUUCAUGAUAACUUCUCGAAUCGCAUGGCCUUGCGCCGGCGAUGGUUCAUUCAAAUUUCUUCCCUAUCAACUUUCGAUGUUUGGGUAGUGGCCAAACAUGGUUGCAACGGGUAACGGAGGGUUAGGGCUCGACCCCGGAGAAGGAGCCUGAGAAACGGCUACUACAUCCAAGGAAGGCAGCAGGCGCGCAAAUUACCCAAUCCCGAUUCGGGGAGGUAGUGACAAUAAAUACUGAUACAGGGCUCUUUUGGGUCUUGUAAUUGGAAUGAGUACAAUUUAAAUCCCUUAACGAGGAACAAUUGGAGGGCAAGUCUGGUGCCAGCAGCCGCGGUAAUUCCAGCUCCAAUAGCGUAUAUUAAAGUUGUUGUGGUUAAAAAGCUCGUAGUUGAACCUUGGGCCUGGCUGGCCGGUCCGCCUCACCGCGUGUACUGGUCCGGCCGGGUCUUUCCCUCUGUGGAACCCCAUGCCCUUCACUGGGUGUGGCGGGGAAACAGGACUUUUACUUUGAAAAAAUUAGAGUGCUCCAGGCAGGCCUAUGCUCGAAUACAUUAGCAUGGAAUAAUGAAAUAGGACGUGCGGUUCUAUUUUGUUGGUUUCUAGGACCGCCGUAAUGAUUAAUAGGGACAGUCGGGGGCAUCAGUAUUCAAUUGUCAGAGGUGAAAUUCUUGGAUUUAUUGAAGACUAACUACUGCGAAAGCAUUUGCCAAGGAUGUUUUCAUUAAUCAGGAACGAAAGUUAGGGGAUCGAAGACGAUCAGAUACCGUCGUAGUCUUAACCAUAAACUAUGCCGACUAGGGAUCGGACGAUGUUAUUUUUUGACUCGUUCGGCACCUUACGAGAAAUCAAAG
rnacentral:rRNA from 1 species